rnacentral:rRNA from 1 species
UGGGGAAUUUUGGACAAUGGGGGAAACCCUGAUCCAGCCAUCCCGCGUGUGCGAUGAAGGCCUUCGGGUUGUAAAGCACUUUUGGCAGGAAAGAAACGUCAUGGGUUAAUACCCCGUGAAACUGACGGUACCUGCAGAAUAAGCACCGUCUAACUACGUGCCAGCAGCCGCGGUAAUACGUAGGGUGCAAGCGUUAAUCGGAAUUACUGGGCGUAAAGCGUGCGCAGGCGGUUCGGAAAGAAAGAUGUGAAAUCCCAGAGCUCAACUUUGGAACUGCAUUUUUAACUACCGGGCUAGAGUGUGUCAGAGGGAGGUGGAAUUCCGCGUGUAGCAGUGAAAUGCGUAGAUAUGCGGGGGAACACCGAUGGCGAAGGCAGCCUCCUGGGAUAACACUGACGCUCAUGCACGAAAGCGUGGGGAGCAAACAGG